rnacentral:rRNA from 1 species
CUUUGUGACAUACCUAUAACUGUUGCUUCGGCGGGUAGGGUCUCCGCGACCCUCCCGGCCUCCCGCCUCCGGGCGGGUCGGCGCCCGCCGGAGGAUAACCAAACUCUGAUUUAACGACGUUUCUUCUGAGUGGUACAAGCAAAUAAUCAAAACUUUUAACAACGGAUCUCUUGGUUCUGGCAUCGAUGAAGAACGCAGCGAAAUGCGAUAAGUAAUGUGAAUUGCAGAAUUCAGUGAAUCAUCGAAUCUUUGAACGCACAUUGCGCCCGCCAGCAUUCUGGCGGGCAUGCCUGUUCGAGCGUCAUUUCAACCCUCAAGCUCUGCUUGGUGUUGGGGCCCUACAGCUGAUGUAGGCCCUCAAAGGUAGUGGCGGACCCUCCCGGAGCCUCCUUUGCGUAGUAACUUUACGUCUCGCACUGGGAUCCGGAGGGACUCUUGCCGUAAAACCCCCCAAUUUUCCAAAGGUUGACCUCGGAUCAGGUAGGAAUACCCGCUGAACUUAAGCAUAUCAAUGAGAAAGA